rnacentral:rRNA from 1 species
GUCGAGCGGACAGAAGGGAGCUUGCUCCCGGAUGUUAGCGGCGGACGGGUGAGUAACACGUGGGUAACCUGCCUGUAAGACUGGGAUAACUCCGGGAAACCGGAGCUAAUACCGGAUAGUUCCUUGAACCGCAUGGUUCAAGGAUGAAAGACGGUUUCGGCUGUCACUUACAGAUGGACCCGCGGCGCAUUAGCUAGUUGGUGAGGUAACGGCUCACCAAGGCGACGAUGCGUAGCCGACCUGAGAGGGUGAUCGACCACACUGGGACUGAGACACGGCCCACACUCCUAC